AAACCGGAGCUAAUACCGGAUAAUAUUUGAACCGCAUGGUUCAAAGUGAAAGACGGUCUUGCUGUCACUUAUAGAUGGAUCCGCGCUGCAUUAGCUAGUUGGUAAGGUAACGGCUUACCAAGGCAACGAUGCAUAGCCGACCUGAGAGGGUGAUCGGCCACACUGGGACUGAGACACGGCCCAG
rnacentral:rRNA from 1 species